rnacentral:rRNA from 1 species
CCUACGGGAGGCAGCAGUGAGGAAUAUUGGUCAAUGGGCGCUAGCCUGAACCAGCCAAGUAGCGUGAAGGAUGACUGCCCUAUGGGUUGUAAACUUCUUUUAUAUGGGAAUAAAGUGCAGUAUGUAUACUGCUUUGCAUGUACCUUAUGAAUAAGGAUCGGCUAACUCCGUGCCAGCAGCCGCGGUAAUACGGAAGGUCCGGGCGUUAUCCGGAUUUAUUGGGUUUAAAGGGAGCGUAGGCCGCAUGUCAAGCGUGCUGUGAAAUGUCCGGGCUCAACCCGGGCCUUGCAGCGCGAACUGGCGUGCUUGAGUCCGCGGAAAGCAGGCGGAAUUCGUCGUGUAGCGGUGAAAUGCUUAGAUAUGACGAAGAACCCCGAUUGCGAAGGCAGCUUGCUGCAGCGGAACUGACGCUGAUGCUCGAAAGCGCGGGUAUCGAACAGGAUUAGAUACCCGGGUAGUC